AACGUAGGAGCCAAGCGUUAUCCGAAUUCACUGGGCGUAAAGCGCGAGCAGGCGGCUCGGCAAGUUGGAUGUGAAAUCUCCUGGCUCAACUGGGAGAGGACGUUCAAAACUGCAGGGCUAGAGGACGGCAGAGGGAGGUGGAAUUCCCGGUGUAGUGGUGAAAUGCGUAGAUAUCGGGAGGAACACCAGAGGCGAAAGCGACCUCCUGGGCCGGACCUGACGCUCGGAUGCGAAAGCUAGGGGAGCAAACGGG
rnacentral:rRNA from 1 species